GCAGUCGAGCGGACAGAUGGGAGCUUGCUCCCUGAUGUUAGCGGCGGACGGGUGAGUAACACGUGGGUAACCUGCCUGUAAGACUGGGAUAACUCCGGGAAACCGGGGCUAAUACCGGAUGGUUGUCUGAACCGCAUGGUUCAGACAUAAAAGGUGGCUUCGGCUACCACUUACAGAUGGACCCGCGGCGCAUUAGCUAGUUGGUGAGGUAACGGCUCACCAAGGCGACGAUGCGUAGCCGACCUGAGAGGGUGAUCGGCCACACUGGGACUGAGACACGGCCCAGACUCCUACGGGAGGCAGCAGUAGGGAAUCUUCCGCAAUGGACGAAAGUCUGACGGAGCAACGCCGCGUGAGUGAUGAAGGUUUUCGGAUCGUAAAGCUCUGUUGUUAGGGAAGAACAAGUGCCGUUCAAAUAGGGCGGCACCUUGACGGUACCUAACCAGAAAGCCACGGCUAACUACGUGCCAGCAGCCGCGGUAAUACGUAGGUGGCAAGCGUUGUCCGGAAUUAUUGGGCGUAAAGGGCUCGCAGGCGGUUUCUUAAGUCUGAUGUGAAAGCCCCCGGCUCAACCGGGGAGGGUCAUUGGAAACUGGGGAACUUGAGUGCAGAAGAGGAGAGUGGAAUUCCACGUGUAGCGGUGAAAUGCGUAGAGAUGUGGAGGAACACCAGUGGCGAAGGCGACUCUCUGGUCUGUAACUGACGCUGAGGAGCGAAAGCGUGGG
rnacentral:rRNA from 1 species